GACGAACGCUGGCGGCGUGCCUAAUACAUGCAAGUUGAGCGCUGAAGGUUGGUACUUGUACCAACUGGAUGAGCAGCGAACGGGUGAGUAACGCGUGGGGAAUCUGCCUUUGAGCGGGGGACAACAUUUGGAAACGAAUGCUAAUACCGCAUAAAAACUUUAAACACAAGUUUUAAGUUUGAAAGAUGCAAUUGCAUCACUCAAAGAUGAUCCCGCGUUGUAUUAGCUAGUUGGUGAGGUAAAGGCUCACCAAGGCGAUGAUACAUAGCCGACCUGAGAGGGUGAUCGGCCAAAUUGGGACUGAGACACGGCCCAAAAUCCUACGGGAGGCAGCAGUAGGGAAUCUUCGGCAAUGGCCGAAAGUCUGAACGAGCAACGCCGCGUGAGUGAAGAAGGUUUUCGGAUCGUAAAACUCUGUUGGUAGAGAAGAACGUUGGUGAGAGUGGAAAGCUCAUCAAGUGACGGUAACUACACAGAAAGGGACGGCUAACUACGUG
rnacentral:rRNA from 1 species